UACGGGGGGUCCAAGCGUUAAUCGGAAUUACUGGGCGUAAAGGGUUCGUAGGUGGUUUAUUAAGUUAUCUGUAAAAUCCCUGGGCUCAACCUGGGCAGGUCAGAUAAGACUGGUAGACUCGAGUAUAGGAGAGGGUAGUGGAAUUUCCGGUGUAGCGGUGAAAUGCGUAGAGAUCGGAAGGAACACCAGUGGCGAAGGCGGCUACCUGGCCCAAUACUGACGCUGAGGAACGAAAGCGUGGGGAGCAAACAGG
rnacentral:rRNA from 1 species